rnacentral:rRNA from 1 species
UGGGGAAUCUUGCACAAUGGAGGCAACUCUGAUGCAGCGACGCCGCGUGAGCGAUGAAGCCCUUCGGGGUGUAAAGCUCUUUCGACGGGAACGAUAAUGACGGUACCCGAAGAAGAAGCUGCGGCUAACUACGUGCCAGCAGCCGCGGUAAUACGUAGGCAGCAAGCGUUGUUCGGAAUUACUGGGCGUAAGGGGUGUGUAGGCGGUGCUCUAAGUCUGUUGUGAAAUCUCCCGGCUUAACUGGGAGGGUGCGGCGGAAACUGGAAUGCUAGAGUAUGGGAGAGGUAAGCGGAAUUCCUGGUGUAGCGGUGAAAUGCGUAGAUAUCAGGAGGAACACCUGUGGUGUAGACAGCUUACUGGACCAUGACUGACGCUGAGACACGAAAGCGUGGGUAGCAAACAGGAUUAGAUACCCUGGUAGUCCACGCCCUAAACGAUGCAUACUUGGUGUGAGCCAUUCAUUUGGUUCGUGCCGGAGCUAACGCGUUAAGUAUGCCGCCUGGGGAGUACGGUCGCAAGGC